rfam:Schistosoma rodhaini strain Burundi genome assembly, scaffold: SROB_scaffold0001732
AGCCAGCCGACGAGUCCCAGUUGGGACGAAAUGCACGUCCUGGAU